rnacentral:rRNA from 1 species
UACGUAGGGUGCAGGCGUUAAUCGGAAUUACUGGGCGUAAAGCGUACGCAGGCGGCUUUGCAAGACAGGUGUGAAAUCCCCGGGCCUAACCUGGGAACUGCAUUUGUGACUGCAUGGCUAGAGUUUGUCAGAGGGGGGUGGAAUUCCACGUGUAGCAGUGAAAUGCGUAGGUAUGUGGAGGAACACCGAUGGCGAAGGCAGCCCCCUGGGAUGUGACUGACGCUCAUGUACGAAAGCGUGGGGAGCAAACAGG